rnacentral:rRNA from 1 species
CUAGAGAUAGAAAGUUACUUCGGUACAUCGGUGACAGGUGGUGCAUGGUUGUCGUCAGCUCGUGUCGUGAGAUGUUGGGUUAAGUCCCGCAACGAGCGCAACCCCUAUUGUUAGUUGCCAUCAUUCAGUUGGGCACUCUAGCGAGACUGCCGGUAAUAAACCGGAGGAAGGUGGGGAGUGACGUCAAAUACAUCAUGCCCCUUACUUGACCUCGGGCGUACACACGUGCUACAAUGGUUGGUACAACGAGUUGCGAGUCGGUGACGGCGAGCUAAUCUCUUAAAGCCAAUCUCAGUUCGGAUUGUAGGCUGCAACUCGCCUACAUGAAGUCGGAAUCGCUAGUAAUCGCGGAUCAGCACGCCGCGGUGAAUACGUUCCCGGGCCUU